rnacentral:pre_miRNA from 1 species
ACUGGGAUAGCUGGGUCAAAUGGGUCAAAUGGUGGUUCCAUUUCCAAGGAAUCUCCAUACUGCUUUCCAGAUUGGUUGUACCAAUCUGCAAUCCCAUCAGCAAU